AGUGAACGCUGGCGGUAGGCCUAACACAUGCAAGUCGAACGGCAGCACAGUAAGAGCUUGCUCUUACGGGUGGCGAGUGGCGGACGGGUGAGGAAUACAUCGGAAUCUACUUUUUCGUGGGGGAUAACGUAGGGAAACUUACGCUAAUACCGCAUACGACCUACGGGUGAAAGCAGGGGAUCUUCGGACCUUGCGCGAUUGAAUGAGCCGAUGUCGGAUUAGCUAGUUGGCGGGGUAAAGGCCCACCAAGGCGACGAUCCGUAGCUGGUCUGAGAGGAUGAGCAGCCACACUGGAACUGAGACACGGUCCAGACUCCUACGGGAGGCAGCAGUGGGGAAUAUUGGACAAUGGGCGCAAGCCUGAUCCAGCCCUACCGCGUGGGUGAAGAAGGCCUUCGGGUUGUAAAGCCCUUCUGUUGGGAAAGAAAAGCAGCAGGUUAAUACCCCGCUGUUCUGACGGUACCCAAAGAAUAAGCACCGGCUAACUUCGUG
rnacentral:rRNA from 1 species